AUCGAACGCUGGCGGCAGGCUUAACACAUGCAAGUCGAACGAGUGGCGGACGGGUGAGUAAUGUUUGGGAAAUUGCCUGAUGGAGGGGGAUCACUACUGGAAACGGUAGCUAAUUACGCAUACCAUCAGAUGUGCCCAGAUGGGAGUCGCUUGUUGGUGGGGUGACGGCUCUCCCAGGCGACGAUGCGUAGCUGGUCUGAGAGGAUGACCGGCCAAACUGGAACUGAGGCACGGUGCAGACGCCUACGGGAGGCAGCAGUGGGGAAUAUUGGACAAUGGGCGCAAGCCUGAUGCAGCCAUGCCGCGUGUAUGAGGGAGGCCUUCAGGUUGUAAAGUACUUUCAGCGGGGAGGCGUUACCCGCAGAAGAAGCACCGGCUAACUCCGUGCCAGCAGCCGCGGUAAUUC
rnacentral:rRNA from 1 species